rnacentral:rRNA from 1 species
UACGAAGGGGGCUAGCGUUGCUCGGAAUCACUGGGCGUAAAGCGCACGUAGGCGGGUUCUUAAGUCGGUGGUGAAAUCCUGGAGCUCAACUCCAGAACUGCCUCCGAUACUGAGAGCCUCGAGUCCGGGAGAGGUGAGUGGAACUGCGAGUGUAAGAGGUGAAAUUCGUAGAAUAUUCGCAAGAACACCAGUGGCGAAGGCGGCUCACUG